rnacentral:lncRNA from 1 species
AACAGACAAAAAUGUUAAGUUUAUUCAAAUAAUAAUAAUAGAGCUAGUAUUUAAAUAACAAUAAUAAGUUAUCUUUAAAAUUACAUUGUAUAAAAAUAUUUUGAAAUAAUUUUAAAAAGAUAUCAUGGUCUCCAAAUGAAAACUAGAUAAAAUAGUUUAACUUUGAAAGUCUGUUAUGUAGAGGAAAGCCGUGCAUCAACUACGACAUCACAAUUGAAUUUUUGUCUUAAAUCUUCAUAUAUUUCCCCAAAGCAGUCUCCCAUACCAUUUGAAGACUCACAUUCAAGAUAUUGAAUAUGGCAUGUGAAAGAACCAACUUAUUUGAUUAAAAUCACCGGCAUAUACACUUCACACAGUACUUUGCACAAACAGGAGUAGAUGUAAAAGCAAAAUCAAUCACUGUAAACAGCAUUAAAAAGGCAUUGUCAGCAAGUCAAGAUCUAUGACCCAAAUAUAGACAAAACACCAACAAGACACAUAAAGAACAGAGGAAUUGAUUUAAUAGAUAACUAUGGAUUUAAUAGUACAUGUUGUUUCUUAGAGCAACCAAACUUGCAACAACAUCAGCUAAAAGAGCAUAUAUUGGACCGUAUCCGUGAAGAAAGUACUCCUUGCCUAAGAGAAAGGAUAAUGGCUCAUACCUGCACGUAUUUAGCCAAAUAAUGCAAUAAGAUAAAUCUUGUACAACAUAGCUCACAAAAGUAAACAUUUUUGCUACAGAGAGGUUCAUUUCCUAUAGACAGAGAAAAUAAAUCCAUCAACAUUUUUGCCCAAUCAAAGUGCCUACACAGAUUUAUCAAACAUAGUACAUGUCUGUGUAAUCUAAUUAUCUCAUGACAAACACGAAAACAACUUUCUAAUAUCAAGGCAUGUUCAUGCACAACUAUGAACACGUAUUUUCCUAACACAAGUCACAGAUUUAUUUUCGCAGUUUAUGGAACUGAAACCUUGCCUUCAUAGGCAUAUUAACUGAUUAAGUGAGAUACUACUAUGUCACCUUAGUUGUUGCUACUGCAUCCCAUAGGAUACUUGAUGAAGUCCUUAUCCUAUUUGUCGGUAAUUUUAUUUUUCUAGAAGUUUUUGUGUUCUUUUUGAAAGUAACUAAUAUGAAGUUUAAGACCAAUCCAACUUAUUAAAUUAUUUAGCAAUUUACUUAAACCGAUCAUAUCCUAUAUACUUUGUUCGACAUCUUAAUGAUCUUACAAUGUUUCACAUCUUCAUUUGUUAAGUAUCCUAUGUAUUUAGCACUAUUAAUGCUCCAUUUUUUAUAUUAAGAAAAAAAUUGUUGAGGCUUAUAGGUUUUAUUAGUUGCCAACAUAUAUUCUUACUCUGUGAAUGUUUAUCCCAAAAAGAUGUACGCUGCAUCAAGAUGUUUCAAAGUCACUGGUAUCAGACUUAAAAAUAUCUUAAGCGUCUCUUAGUUUCUGUAAUGCUCUUUUGAGUGUUAUUAUUUCACAAUGUACCUAUUAAAAAUUAUUGUAACCUACUUAAGUUCCAUGCAGCAAAGGAAAAGCACAAGAAUAAACUAGAAUUAAAGCUGGCAGUACAUCUCUCAAAUCAUAUAUUAAUAUUCUCGUGAAAUAAAUUUCCAUUUCUUUUCUCAAUAAAGACAAAUCAUGAGGAAAACAAAAAAGAUUCUAGUAAAGCAUGCGCAGUAGAAAGAAAGCGCCAACAAGACCAAAGAAAGCAUGUUAUACUGCAAAAUAAAGUUAAAUCGCGCUUAUAAGGUAGAAGAAAUAAAGGAACCGAAGGAAUAAUAUAUAGCUGUUUAAACAAUUCGAAUAAAUGCAGCAAAGCCAAGAAAAUAAUUCAAAGAAAUUAACCCAGAAGAAUAGCAAAUCUUCAUGUAAAAUAUAGAAAAGGAAAGCAAUGAAGUAUUUAGUUAACACAAAACCUUACACCACAAAACGAGGGUUUAAAAAAAGCACCUUAUUUGCCUGGACAAAGUAUUUAUACAAGAAAGCCCCCGUUUUUCCCAAAAAGCACAAAUACGAACAAAAUAAAGCAUAAAAAAUAGUAAAUACAUUUCCAGCCCAAAAUUUUCUCUAUCCUAGCUUCGGUAAUGAAAAAAAAUCAUAACCUGCAAGAAACGAAAUGCCGAUUUGCCAAGAAACUAAUGAACUGAAACAAUCGCACCAAAAACUAAUCGUAUUUAUAAAAAAAAUUGCAAUAACACCCAUUAAAAAUGCAUGCAGAGAGGAAAGAAAUAGAGAUUACUCACAGGCCUAUAUAUUUGGAAAGCCACUACAACCACACUUCCCUUACAGGAGAAUUGAAAAUUUAUCCCAAAAAUACCCUAAUUUCAAUAGACAAAACUCACCAUUAGCGCAAACCCUAGUUUGCAUUUGAAGAACACAAAUCUGUUUUUGGUCAACAAAACAAUGAAAUGAGUUCUAAAAAUAAACAACAUUGAGUCGGUGGGAAUAACUGGUGGGAAUAAACAAAUAAAAUGAUAAAAAAAGAAAAUAGAAGCUACAAGAAAUUAAAAAUCAUGAGGAAGAAAAUACAAAUCUGAAUUAAGUAAAAAAAGAGAAGAAGCACUUGCCGCUUCAAUUGAACCGGAGAUCUGAGACGGUGGAGUUGGCGAAAGAUGCCAAGAUGAAAGUGAAACGGGAGCGGGUGGAGGUUUAGUUCGCUGGUAGCUUCUGUUGAUGUUGGGAGGGAGAGGGUGGAGGUCGAUUUCGGCUUGAGAGGGUAAAACAGAGACUGAAUAGCUAAUCAUUGCUUUUGGAAGGGAAUACAAAUCGACGCUGAAGCAAAAAAUUUUGGGAAUACGUCCGUAACGUAAUAGGCCCAUAUUAGGGCAUUACACCGAACCAAACACAGGAUUAAGUGAGGC